rnacentral:rRNA from 1 species
CCGGUAAACGGCGGCCGUAACUAUAACGGUCCUAAGGUAGCGAAAUUCCUUGUCGGGUAAGUUCCGACCUGCACGAAUGGCGUAAUGAUGGCCAGGCUGUCUCCACCCGAGACUCAGUGAAAUUGAACUCGCUGUGAAGAUGCAGUGUACCCGCGGCAAGACGGAAAGACCCCGUGAACCUUUACUAUAGCUUGACACUGAACAUUGAGCCUUGAUGUGUAGGAUAGGUGGGAGGCUUAGAAGUGUGGACGCCAGUCUGCAUGGAGCCGACCUUGAAAUACCACCCUUUAAUGUUU